UACGUAGGGGGCUAGCGUUGUCCGGAAUCAUUGGGCGUAAAGAGCGUGUAGGCGGUCCGGUAAGUCCGCUGUGAAAGUCGGGGGCUCAACCCUCGAAUGCCGGUGGAUACUGUCGGGCUAGAGUGCGGAAGAGGCGAGUGGAAUUCCGGGUGUAGCGGUGAAAUGCGCAGAUAUCAGGAGGAACACCUAUUGCGAAGGCAGCUCGCUGGGACGUAACUGACGCUGAGACGCGAAAGCGUGGGGAGCAAACAGG
rnacentral:rRNA from 1 species